rnacentral:rRNA from 1 species
CCUACGGGGGGCAGCAGUGGGGAAUAUUGGGCAAUGGGCGCAAGCCUGACCCAGCAACGCCGCGUGAAGGAAGAAGGCUUUCGGGUUGUAAACUUCUUUUCUCAGGGACGAAGAAAGUGACGGUACCUGAGGAAUAAGCCACGGCUAACUACGUGCCAGCAGCCGCGGUAAUACGUAGGUGGCAAGCGUUAUCCGGAUUUAUUGGGUGUAAAGGGCGUGUAGGCGGGAGCGCAAGUCAGAUGUGAAAACUCAGGGCUCAACCCUGAGCCUGCAUUUGAAACUGUGUUUCUUGAGUGCUGGAGAGG